UGCCAGGCGGGGCUCUCCAAGGAUGGUGGAGGGCAGUGCCCCGUUCACGCGCCACCAGCGCGCUCCAAGUGUCCUUGCGGAGGCAGAAACAGGAGCUCCACCCCCAGCCUUCUAGGAAAAAAGAGACUCAACUCCUAUUGACCACUCUGGUUGACUGCCAGGUUAUGCUACCUUCAGUGAAGGAAGAGAUGCUGGUCCAUUUACCAAUUUCUUAAGCAGGUACCACCUUCCCACCUGGCUCAGUACAGCUCAGCUCCCAGAACUUUCCUCAACUGCAGACGUGUCAGAACACAUGAUCAUCAUCACAUCAGCAACCAUCCUGGAAGCCCAUUCCUCUCACUGCCUUCCACCAAGGAUGCCUGGACCAGAGAGGUGACAGCAAGCAAGAGAGUCUCAAACCAAACUUCUGAUCAGAUUCUUCCAUCUGAGACACAUGCAUGAGUAUGUACCUGCUCUCAAACGCACUAUAUUUCUGAAUGUCAAACAUUCCAGUUUCAUGCAACCCUGGCUAGCACAGAAGGUAGCAGAUAAGGUUGUUUAUGAGCCUUACAUUAAGUUGUAAUGUGAGUGUGCUUGGCAGAAUCCCAGGGGUCACUCAUUAAACAAACCACAAUUUUGCUUGUUGUGCUGUUUGAAGCUCCCAACAUCAAAUCCUAAGCAUUCCACGACUGUUACUUUUGUUUGUGGCUUUGAAGCUUGAGCUUAAGAAGAUUUUGAGGAAACUAAAUUGAUUAAAAACCAAAUGCAGUAUUGACUGGGAAAAGUUUUUGAGCACAGACUGUUUGUCAGAGGCACUUUUUUCUUUGCUAGUUUUCUUUCUUCCUCCAUUUUUGUGGAUGGAGAUAUAUUUAAAACAUUUUAGGACUGGCAAGACGUUCAGCAUGUCUUAUGGUGCCUGCCAUAAAGCCUGAUCAUCUGAAUUUAAUCAAUCAGAACCCACAUAAUGAAUGGAGAGAGAACCAAUUCUACCUUCAC